CUCCUACGGAGGCAGCAGUGAGGAAUAUUGCACAAUGGGCGCAAGCCUGAUGCAGCGACGCCGCGUGGGGGAUGAAGGCCUUCGGGUUGUAAACCCCUUUCACCAGGAGCGAAUUCAGACGGUACCUGGGGAAGAAGCCCGGCUAACUCUGUGCCAGCAGCCGCGGUAAUAC
rnacentral:rRNA from 1 species